rnacentral:misc_RNA from 1 species
GAUGAAGAACGCAGCGAAUUGCGAUAUGUAAUGUGAAUUGCAGAAUUCAGUGAAUCAUCGAAUCUUUGAACGCACAUUGCGCCCCCUGGCAUUCCGGGGGGCAUGCCUGUUCGAGCGUCAUUACAACCCUCAAGCUCUGCUUGGUAUUGGGCUCUGCCGGUCCCGGCAGGCCUUAAAAUCAGUGGCGGCGCCACUCGGCUUCAAGCGUAGUAAUUCUUCUCGCUUCGGAGACCCGGGUGCGUGCUAGCCAGCAACCCCCAACUUUCUCAGGUUGACCUCGGAUCAGGUAGGGAUACCCGCUGAACUUAAGCAUAUCAAUAAGCGGAGGA